GCGCAGCAGUCGCGAAACCUCCGCAAUGCGGGAAACCGCGACGGGGGGACCCCGAGUGCCGUGGCAAUGCUACGGCUUUUCCGGAGUGUAAAAAGCUCCGGGAAUAAGGGCUGGGCAAGGCCGGUGGCAGCCGCCGCGGUAAUACCGGCGGCCCGAGUGGUGGCCGCUAUUAUUGGGCCUAAAGCGUCCGUAGCCGGGCCCGUAAGUCCCUGGCGAAAUCCCACGGCUCAACCGUGGGGCUUGCUGGGGAUACUGCGGGUCUUGGGACCGGGAGAGGCGAGGGGUACCCCUGGGGUAGGGGUGAAAUCCUAUAAUCCCAGGGGGACCGCCAGUGGCGAAGGCGCCCCGCUGGAACGGGUCCGACGGUGAGGGACGAAGGCCAGGGGAGCAAACCGGAUUAGAUACCCCUGUAGU
rnacentral:rRNA from 1 species